GCUUCGGUCUGCGAACGGGAAUGAGUUGUACACAAAACCCACAUCGAGUAACAAUUGGAGGGCAAGUCUGGUGCCAGCAGCCGCGGUAACACCAGCUCCAAUAGCGUAUAUUAACUUUGCUGCACUUAAAAAGCUCGUAGUCAGAUUUCCGAGGGCACCCCCGUAGUCGGCACCGGUGUCGUACUCCUUUGUGGGUAUGGCGCCGUUCAUGCCCUCGGGGUGUCCCUCCUGGACCCCUGCCCGACUUCUGCACCUUUUACCGGGUGUGGAUUGCUGGGGCCGUUCCUCCUCGCGGUGUGAACGCGUUCUCGGCGCGGGCAUGUUCCUGUGAGCAAAUCAGAGUGUUCCAAGCAGGCGCAAAGCUGCCACUGCAUGGUUGAGCAUGGAAUGACAACGCGGGACUCAGGUUGCGCUUUGUUGGUGGGGCCGACCUGAGGACAUGGUUAAUAGGGACAGUUGGGGGCAUUCGUAUUCCGACGUCAGAGGUGAAAUUCUAGGAUUGUCGGAAGACGAACUGCUGCGAAAGCGUUUGCCAAGGAUGUUCCCGUUGAUCAAGAACGAUAGUUAGGGGAUCGAAGACGAUCAGACACCGUCCUAGUCCUAACCGUAAACGAUGCCGACUGGGGAUUGGAGAAUGUUUCUGAAUAUUAUGACUCCUUCAGCACCCUUCCGGGAAACUAAGAGUCUUUGGGUUGUGGGGGGAGUAUGGUCGCAAGGCUGAAACUUAAAGGAAUUGACGGAAGAGCACCACAAGCCGUGGAGCCUGCGGCUUAAUUCGACCCAACUCGGGGAACCUUACCAGGUCCAGACAUAGGGAGGAUGGACAGAUUGAGAGCUCUUUCUUGAUUCUAUGGGUGGUGGUGCAUGGCCGUUUUUAGUUGGUGGGGUGACUUGUCUGGUUAAUUCCGUUAACGAACGAGACCUCUGCCUGCUAACUAGCGCGGUCUUUCGCCUUGUGCGAAAGAUUUCACACAUCAAGCGCUUCUUAGAGGGAUUCCUGGUGACAAGCCAGGUGAAACGAGAGGCCAGAACAGGUCUGUGAUGCCCUUCGAUGUUCUGGGCUGCACGCGCGCUACACUGACGGACUCAACGAGCGUCUCCUUGACCGAAAGGUCCCGGGGAACCUUACCAAAGUUCGUCGUGCUGGGGAUAGACUAUUGCAAUUAUUAGUCUUCAACGAGGAAUGGCUAGUAAGCGCGUGUCAUCAUCGCGCGCUGACUACGUCCCUGCUCUUUGUACACACCGCCCGUCGCUCCUACCGAUUGGAUGAUGCGGUGAAAUCCUCGGACCGACUUGGGGUUGAAUGGCAUCUCACGGUGUCUCCCGGUUGGGAAGUUGAUUGAAUCUUAUCAUCUAGAGGAAGGAGAAGUCGUAACAAGGUAUCCGUAGGUGAACCUGCGGAUG
rnacentral:rRNA from 1 species